rnacentral:lncRNA from 1 species
CCACAUGGGAUAAGAGCCCAAAACCAUUGCUUUGAGGCAGUGAAUGGCUUGUAUAAAGUUAUUUUGGGUUAGAAUAUGUUAUAAUACAAUGAAUUUGAUAGAUUACAAGUGCUAGAGAUGCAAGAAGAAUGUUUAAAAGUGAGAAGAAAGACUUGUUGAUAUUUGAUCCCAAAUGGGAUAAGAACCCAAAACCAUUGCUUGGAGGCAGUGAAUGGCUUGUAUAAAGUUAUUUGGGUUAGAAUAUGUUAUAAUACAAUGAAUUUGAUUGAUUACAAGUGCUAGAGAUACAUGAAGAAUGUUUAGAAAUGAGAAGAAAGACUUGUUGAUAUUUGGUCACAAAUGGGAUAAGAACCCAAACCAUUGCUUCGAGGCAGUUAAUGGCUUGUAUAAAGUUAUUUUGGGUUAGAAUAUGUUAUAAUACAAUGAAUUUGAUUGAUUACAAGUGCUAGAGAUGCAUGAAGAAUGUUUCAAAGUGAGAAGAAAGACUUGUUGAUAUUUGGUCCCAAAUGGGAUAAGAGCCCA